rnacentral:rRNA from 2 species
AGGUACCGCAAAGUUUGAUCCUGGCGCUCACCMCUUAAAGGGWGRCCCAAAAGGUUGUUCCCGGACGGGUGASUAACACGUGGGCAACCUGCCUGUWKAUCGGGAUAACGCCGGGAAACCGGGGCUAAUACCGGAUAGUUUUUUCCUCCGCAUGGAGGAAAAAGGAAAGACGGCUUYKGCUGUCACUUACAGAUGGGCCCGCGGCGCAUUAGCUWGUUGGUGGGGUAACGGCUCACCAAGGCAACGAUGCGUAGCCGACCUGAGAGGGUGAUCGGCCACAUUGGGACUGAGACACGGCCCAAACUCCUACGGGAGGCAGCAGUAGGGAAUCUUCCGCAAUGGACGAAAGUCUGACGGAGCAACGCCGCGUGAGUGAAGAAGGCCUUCGGGUCGUAAAACUCUGUUGCCGGGGAAGAACAAGUGCCGUUCGAACAGGGCGGYGCCUUGACGGUACCCGGCCAGAAAGCCACGGCUAACUACGUGCCAGCAGCCGCGGUAAUACGUAGGUGSCAAGGCGUUGKUCCGGAAUUAUUGGGCGUAAAGCGCGCGCAGGCGGCUUCUUAAGUUCUGAUGUUGAAAUCUUGCGGCUCAACCGCAAGCGGUCAUUGGAAACUGGGAGGCUUGAGUGCAGAAGAGGAGAGUGGAAUUCCACGUGUAGCGGUGAAAUGCGUAGAGAUGUGGAGGAACACCAGUGGCGAAGGCGGCUCUCUGGUCUGUAACUGACGCUGAGGCGCGAAAGCGUGGGGAGCAAACAGGAUUAGAUACCCUGGUAGUCCACGCCGUAAACGAUGAGUGCUAAGUGUUAGAGGGUUUCCGCCCUUUAGUGCUGCAGCUAACGCAUUAAGCACUCCGCCUGGGGAAGUACGGCCGCAAGGCUGAAACUCAAAGGARUUGACGGGGRCCCGCACAAGCGGUGSAGCAUGUGGUUKRAUUYKAAGCAACGCGAAGAACCUUACCAGGUCUUGACAUCCUCUGACCUCCCUGGAGACAGGGCCUUCCCCUUCGGGGGACAGAGUGACAGGUGGUGCAUGGUUGUCGUCAGCUCGUGUCGUGAGAUGUUGGGUUAAGUCCCGCAACGAGCGCAACCCUUGACCUUAGUUGCCAGCAUUCAGUUGGGCACUCUAAGGUGACUGCCGGUGACAAACCGGAGGAAGGUGGGGAUGACGUCAAAUCAUCAUGCCCCUUAUGACCUGGGCUACACACGUGCUACAAUGGAUGGUACAAAGGGCUGCGAGACCGCGAGGUUAAGCCAAUCCCAGAAAACCAUUCCCAGUUCGGAUUGCAGGCUGCAACCCGCCUGCAUGAAGCCGGAAUCGYUAGUAAUCGCGGAUCAGCAUGCCGCGGUGAAUACGUUCCC